GAUGAACGCUGGCGGCGUGCCUAACACAUGCAAGUCGAGCGAAGCGAUUUGGCGGAAGUUUUCGGAUGGAAGCUAAAUUGACUGAGCGGCGACGGGUGAAGGUACGCGUGGUAACCUGCCUCAUAGCGGGGGAUAACUAUUGGAAACGAUAGCUAAUACCGCAUAACAGUAUUUACCGCAUGGUAGAUAUUUGAAAGGAGCAAUUGCUUCACUAUGAGAUGGACCUGCGUUGUAUUAGCUAGUUGGUGAGGUAACGGCUCACCAAGGCUUCGAUACAUAGCCGACCUGAGAGGGUGAUCGGCCACACUGGGACUGAGACACGGCCCAG
rnacentral:rRNA from 1 species